UUAGAGAAGAACUUCUUCAAAAAUUCGAGCAUAAGUGCCUUGCAUCCCUGGAAGAGCUUUGUUCCCUGCAGCCAUCUUCACUGGAAUGUGAACUUUCUAAACAUAGAGGCAUUGUUGGCCGGCCAGUCAUCUGACAUGCCCUCUUGGAAUGCACAAAAUCCCAUAUCUCAGAGAAGGACUUCUUCAAAAAUUCGAGCAUAAGUGCCUUGCAUUCCUGGAAGAGCUUUGUGCCCUGCAGCCCUCUUCACUGGAAUGUGAACAUUCUAAACCUAGAUGCAUUGUUGGCCGGCCAGUCAUCUGACAUGCCCUCUUGGAAUGCAGAGAAUCCCAUAUCUCAGGUCUGCCCCUAAGACCAGUACAGGAUUGUUUUCCCUCCACAGUGGGAAGGAGUAAGGAGUAUCUGAAUGGGUAGCAAAGCUGCAUCCAGGUUAACAAGCAAAUGUUGGGAGAACUGCUCUCAGGAUGUAUUCCAAGAUGUUAUCUACCAUCUGCAUGGUAAUUUCACUGAAACCACACAACCAGAGAUAAGAGUUCUGGAGAUUAAACUCAGGUCUUCUUGUAAGCUAUCUACCUUCUCAGCUCACAUACCUAAUUUUCAGGUCAGUAUUUAUUAAAAAUUUAUUUUUCAGCAGUAUUUUGUUGGUAAACAUAUAAGAAUCUAACUGUUCUUUUACAAGUUCUAUAUACCACCACUAAAUAUCAACAAUUACUAGGCUUUACUACUAAAGAAAGAGAUAAUAUUCUUCCUACUAUAAGAAGGUAUAUGCUUAAUAUAUCAUUUCUAAAGUACAAAAUUGUUAAAAAGUUAUCCUUCAAAACUAUAGAUUUUUAAAAAUUCAUAAUUUUAUGUUCCUGAAGAGGAUCUGAUAUUUUACAGUAAAAUACAUUAAUUUAAAAUUAACCUUGGAAAUGGAGAACAAAAACAUACCAACAACAGUAUUAGCUAGAAACCUGUCCUAAAACAGAAUAAUUUUGAACACUUAAAUAUCCAUGAUCAGCUUAGCUCAAACUUGGUUCCAACACAAUGUACUGUCAUCACUGUGCUUUCUCCCAGUUUCCAACCUGCUAAGAAAACAAGUUAGUUAUUGACUCAAAGGCUUAUUGGUAUUCCAGACAGCACACAUCUGUCCAGUCCCUAUUCUUUUCCCCCAGUUCUGGUUCUGAUAUGUUCUAUUAUGAUCACUAAAAAAUAAUUUUCUAUUUUUUUUAUUUUUGUUUGAAAUGUAAAAUAAGCAUAAUAUAGUAUCAAAUAAAUUAAUAAGUGAAAUACUUAAGUUAAUUCCCUAACGUUAAGUCUAAGUUUGUGGUUGCAAAUAUUAUUAUUCCAGACUUUCUAUAGAUAAAACAUGCAUUUAAUCCCAGCACUCCAACUCAGUGAGUUUAGUAAAGUUAUGUCUCCAUAGAAAAUUUGAGUCUAAUGAGGGAUUUAUAGUGAUUUUUUUUAUCUAAAAUAAGACUAACAAGUAAAUAAAUAUUUCCAGUUUUAUCAAAAUAUUUAACCACAAGAUUUUAAAAACAAAAGUAUUGUAGGAAUAAGAGCAACAGCAGCAGCAACAGCAGCAACAUAUGAAACUGAUGAGUCACUUUACAAUUAAAACUGAUUUGAUAUCUACAACUCCUUAAGUAGGCUGCUAAAACCAUCUUACAGAUAGUCCCUUGAAGUAAUAAAGGGAUGAAUAACUUAAGAAAUAGUAAUUCAGAGAAGAAAGGUUUUAAUACAGGGAGUAAGCUUUUAGCCCAGUUUGCCUGUUUUUCCAAAGAAACUAGAGAUAAUAUUUGCUCUUAGAUUUUCUGUGAUUUCUUUGGAUAUCAAUAUUUUCAACAAUAUUCACAUAUUAUUUUCAGAAUCAGGAUGUAUUCCUAUAUAAUUUAAAAAUAGUUGGCAGCUUAAUUCUGUAGGUGAAAAUGUCCAAUCAGCAAUUUAAGAAGACCAUUCUCAAUGUUGCCAAAGUGACUUUGUAGAUUAUCUUGUUUGAGAUGAUGUAUUAGUAGCCCAUCUUUUUAAAAACUCUGGUAACAAAACAUAAAAUGUAAUACUAACCAUACACAAAAGCCAUUAGCAAAUCCAGUCAUGUUAAAAUGUUUUCCUUAAAAAUAGUAACUCUUGCCGGGCGGUGGUGGCGCACGCCUUUAAUCCUAGCACUUGGGAGGCGGAGGCAGGCGGAUUUCCGA